rnacentral:rRNA from 1 species
AUACCGCAUACGAUCUGACCUCGGCAUCGAGGAUAGAUGAAAGGUGGCCUCUAUUUAUAAGCUAUCACUGAAGGAGGGGAUUGCGUCUGAUUAGCUAGUUGGAGGGGUAACGGCCCACCAAGGCGAUGAUCAGUAGCCGGUCUGAGAGGAUGAACGGCCACAUUGGGACUGAGACACGGCCCAGACUCCUACGGGAGGCAGCAGUGGGGAAUCUUCCGCAAUGGACGAAAGUCUGACGGAGCAACGCCGCGUGAGUGAUGACGGCCUUCGGGUUGUAAAGCUCGGUUAAUCGGGACGAAAGGCCUUCUUGCGAAUAGUUAGAAGGAUUGACGUACCGGAAUAGAAAG